UGAUUCAUGAUUCGGCCACCAGUGGUUCCCGGUGCCGCCGCUGGAGGCAGUACUGCGCUGCUGAGGCUCUGGCCGAGAGCCUGAGACAAACACAGAAGAAGAAGACUGGUUCCGGCCAUGUGCGCUGCAGUGCUUUGAGCAGCGUGGGGUUCGAGGACGGGCAGCAGCAAGGUAUGUUUCAGGCAUUUAUAAGUAACAUGUUGUGGACAACAUUUUAGUACUAGCUUUUACAGACUGAUUUUUGUUUGGAUUAAUCCAACUAACUUUUAUAUCGAGAGACUGAAGCUUUGAGCUGACCCAAUGAUUAAACACACUACCCAUCUGACCCUGCUCUCAGGGGGACGAUUAUUGCUCUUAUAUGAGGACAAAGACAGGAGACGCGUGGAGGAUUCUUCUGCUUGUGUGCUUCAUCCUGAAGAAUGUUAAUUAAUAUGCUCAAAGUGGCCCGAGCGGUUGAAACCAUCCUUCGUGAAAAUGUGAUGCAGGGAGAGCAUGUGGAGCAAAACUAAAUCUUGUUACAGCCCCGCCAGAGUCUCCUGCUGGACAAUGUGCCUUACUCUGAUACACCCAGAAACAAGACCUGACCCUGAUUCACUGUCACUGAUCUUCAUUUGCACUGUAAUAUCACACAGUGGCCAUAACUUUAAUAACUUGUACAGUAUGUUGGUUCAACGCUGAUGUGAUUGUGUUCAAUUAAAUGCAAUCAAU